UGUUCAUGUCUGCAUCUCAUACUCAGUGGUUGGUUCCUCUUUCUUAAAUGGUAGUGCUCUUUUCACCCUCACCUGUUAGUCUGCACACUUUCACACCCUUCCCAGAUCUGCCCUCCAGUAAGCAUUUGAUAAGCGUUUAAGAAAUGAUGAAGUAUUGCAGAAGACUGAUACUGAAGCUCUUUUCUUGCUAGUGUGUGUGUGUGUGUGUGUGUACACAUAUUUUAGACAAAUGUACACACACAUGCUUAUUAUGUGUUCUGUGUAUUAUGCCUGUUCAGGUAUAUUAGAGGUAACGGUGUCAUCUAUGAGGUAGGUAUGGUUAAUCCUGCUGUUCUAGGGAGGAAGCUGGCUGGAGGCUCCAGGCAGGUUUCACCACACAGAUCCAUACCAUUGCCUCUUUCCUCCUGUUGUGCCCUCUUGCCCCUCUCCAUCCUUCUCUUCACCUUUAUUCCUGUUAGAACGUAGAUGGAGGCCCAAGAUGCAGCCCUCUGUCUUCUGGGAUGCUGAGGCCUCCAUGCGAUGCAAGUUUCAUUCUUAGGAUGACAAAGCAGAUUAAGAGAAGGAGCUCAGGCUCAUCUCCCAGAUGACCCUGGGGAGCAGCUGUGACCCUGUGUUCCUCUGUCCCCACUUCCUCGUGUGUGAGCACGGUCAGUCCCCAUCUGGUAAAGCUACUCUAGACAAUGUUCUAGACCCGACCUCUGUCACUGAACCCAAACUCUCACAAUGUUUAUGAAACUGCAAAUGUAACUAUUAAUAGAAUACUAAAUAAGAUGCGUACUUACCAAACUGCUGCAGAAGGAAAAGUCAGAAAAAACGUCUAACAGCAAACAACAAAAGAAAUAUGCGAUGACUAUAACAAUAAAAUGAUGAUAAGUCCAGUGUAUCAUGUAUGACAAUAAGUAGAGGACAAAGGUUUUUUUAAAAGUAAAAUCAGAUCUCCCUAUCACCUGCUUCCGAGUCACUUCUUAAUAAAGGACCAACAAAAAAAAAGUUUACAGUUAAAUGUUUGUCAAAUAUAUUUCAGGGAAACAAUGAAGGAAAGCAAUAUGUGGCGGCAGAAAUAAUAUCAGACAAAAUAGAAAUUAAGGGACAAUCAUUAAGCCAAAGAAGCGCUUUUAUUUUUAUAAAAGAUACAGUGAAUUAGGAAAGUGUUCUUUUAAGAGCCAUCUACCUACAUUAAAUACAUCAACCAAGAGUUCUUAGAACAAAGAUAAAUUGGUUGGGAGGCUGCUGUGUGAGCCUUUAACACAAUUUUCCAAGCCUUCAAAGAUCAUGGAGAUUAAAGAAGUAAUAAUGGCAUCAAAAAUUUGAAUGAUAUACAUAAUGAGAUUAAGCUGAUAAUACAUAUUCUUUUUGGAGGUUGAUGAGUAAAUUUUCAAAACUAAGUUACAAAAGAUUACAAAAUGCCUAGGUUAUAUGCUCUGACCUUUAUUCAUGGGGAAAUCCCCCAAAAUUAGAGCUGUGUGGUCACGGCAAAUCAUAUUUUGAUGAUCUGGAAAAGUGCCCAUGAUAUCAUGUUAAGUAUAAAAGCAUUGUGCAGAAUUCUAUAUUGUGUUUAAAUUUCUAAAAAUUCGUAAAAAUGAGAUACUUCCUUUCCACAGUGGUUACCACUGGGUGGUGAAAGUAGACAAGAGAUUACCUUUCCAACUUCUGUGUUUUAUGGAUUUUCCACAGUGAGUGUAUAUUGCAUUCAGAUUACAUGAAAAACAAUACUUGGUAAUAAAAUAAAAGCAGAAGACCCAACUGAAAGUACAGUAUGAAUCAAGG
rnacentral:lncRNA from 1 species